rnacentral:tRNA from 1 species
AGUGUCAAGGGAUGGGAAUCGAACCCACGACCUUCGGCUUACCGGGCAGAUGCCAUGACCACUAGGCCACAUGACC